rnacentral:rRNA from 1 species
AGUGAACGCUGGCGGCAGGCCUAACACAUGCAAGUCGAACGGCAGCACAAGAGAGCUUGCUCUCUGGGUGGCGAGUGGCGGACGGGUGAGGAAUGCAUCGGAAUCUGCCCAUUUGCGGGGGAUAACCUCGGGAAACCGGGACUAAUACCGCAUACGACCUACGGGUGAAAGCAGGGGAUCUUCGGACCUUGCGCAGAUGGAUGAGCCGAUGCCGGAUUAGCUAGUUGGAGGGGUAAAGGCCCACCAAGGCGACGAUCCGUAGCUGGUCUGAGAGGAUGAUCAGCCACACUGGGACUGAGACACGGCCCAGACUCCUACGGGAGGCAGCAGUGGGGAAUAUUGGACAAUGGGCGCAAGCCUGAUCCAGCCAUGCCGCGUGUGUGAAGAAGGCCUUCGGGUUGUAAAGCACUUUUGUUGGGAAAGAAAAGCAGCCGGUUAAUACCCGGUUGUCAUGACGGUACCCAAAGAAUAAGCACCGGCUAACUUCGUG